CUCGGCCAGUAAAACGAGAUGAGCGCCACAACCCCAGAGUCGGCCACGACUGGACCUAAUGGUCAGGGGUCCCUUUACCUUUACCAGCACAGAGUAGAAUUGUGUCCAGAAACAGAGCAGCAACCAGUGUAGCUUUUUAAGAACUGGCAAGGCCUCAGAAUUGGAACCAAGUUUGCAGUCCCAGAGGGACAUUGGCAUUAGGAAGAACUGAGAAAACAACUGUAAAGAAAAGCAAGGAAAGCUGGAAUGGAAAGAGGACUGAGUGAACUCAGAAGGAUGUGGCUCAGGCAGGCAUUUAAAGUUUACUGCUAUUUGGAUUAUUAACACAAAUUCUGAAGAUGUGGACAAGCAGGAAGCUGGACAAGCCACUCUGAAGAAGCAUUUAGGAAAGAUGGAAUCAUCAAGCAAGGCUGGCUGGUCAUUAACUACAUAAUCUCCUUAAAUUGUUCCUUAAGAUAAACUUAAGACACUGGCUUGGAACCAGAGUCAAGCUGCAGUCCACUUACCCGAGAAUUCAAAAGUACUUAUUUCUGAGCAUCUGUGGUUAGGAUUUUACUGCAAAUAACUUGAAUUUAGGGUGUCAUACACCACCACCCCUUCAUGGGGCAGCAGGGCCAUUGCUGCAUCCACAGGCCUGGGGGUGGGCAAGACAAUGAGAAGGGGCUAAGUCCAUAGAGCUGUACUGCUGAUAGGCAGAUACUCAGACAAUAGAAAUACAAUCGGUAGAGAGGGCUCUGUGUGAUGUCAUUUCCCCUGCCUCUUCUAGACAGAAAGGAGCAUACAGUACUUCCUGUUCCCCUCUCUCUCCCUUUGACCAUUGUUGGAUUCAAACAUGCCUCCCCUUGAUCCAACUUUAGGCACAUGCCCACACCCUCCCAAGUGUCCCUAUUUUCCAGAGACGUCCCUGAUUUAGAGAAGCCGUCCUGGUUUCUUAUUUGAUCCCGGAAUGUCCC